AUAUCUAUCACCAUAUUAUAAGUUGGAUUUCACGAAUCAUGCAGAACUUGUUUGUUUUACAGGCAUUCAAUUACUGCUGUCUUAGAUAUACUAUUAUCCAAGAAGUUGGCUGCUGGAAAGCUGUUUGUUGGCCAAAAGCUAAGGGUAGCGCAUUAAAUUAAUGGUUGUAGUCUAUCCUUUGUGUAAGAGACUAUGUAAGCAUUAGUAAUACCAAGAACUUAUGACCUGCAUUUAUAUCCUGACAAUGCCACUAAAGUAUUCUCUUUCCCCUUCUGGCCCGUCUUGCUUCAUGUAAAUGUUGUUAGGUAUAGGUGGUGCCAUUCCAUUAUCAUUUUUGUCAAUCAAGGAUGGUGGAGGUUCUGUUCCACUUACAUAGGUCGGAAUUUCAAAGAUAUAUCCUGUUCUCUAUAGGGAAAGGUAAUUGAAAUUUGUAUUAGUUUUGAGUCUGUUGAAAAUCUAUGACAUUAAUGGGGGUUUCGUUGUAAGAUCUCAAAGGACGGAAGCUAAAGAGAUGCACUCUUUUAAUCAAAGUAUUAGCUUCUUGGUUUUUCCUCAUCUGAAACCCGUGAUACAUCAAGAGUUGUGCCUCAACUCCUUCAUUGUAGGCCUCUGUUGUCUGAUGCUACUUUAGUGCCAGAUCACUCUUAAGUCCACAUUUGGUUUAUUCAAUAAAUAUGAAUUCGUGGGUGCAACAUAUAUAAAAGUGUCACAGUUGGUUUAUCUGUAAAGUGAUCCUUACUUCCUGCUACUAUUAUGUGUGAUUUUCAUCAAAUGCUCGAUGGAUCACACAUCUGUAUCAAAAUAUUAUAGCUAUCAAGAAUUGGAUAGCAGAUUAGUUUUUAAAUGGAAAACGUCAAUGGGUUUGAGUAAUGGUAUGUGUCAACUAAUUUUGGUAACUACAACAGUCGCAAAUUGCAUGACAACACCUAAAAAUCUUCACUUGGAUAUAUUUACUACUCAAAACAUUUGACCUUUGCUUUAAGAUUAGAGUGUUUCAACCAUUCUGGGUCAUAGUUGAAUAGCGGAAUGAGGCAUGAAAAUGAGUUUAAUGGACAAUGCGGAUAGUAUCUCUUCUUUUAUUAGGCAAAAGAUGAAAGAAAAUAACUUGCACUGAGCUGAAGAAUAACAUCACUAAAUAUUUUGUGCUAUUAGAGAAAAAUAGAACAGGCAGCGGAGAAUAGUUGUUAAAUGAAUGCAAGGAAGUCAAUGUGGUUAAAUGUUCACUCCCUCCCCUGUGUGCACGGGGGGUUAAGCUUAAGGUUACCUCUCCAGUUAAAGUUGCUUUAGUUAUAAGCGUUCAAUUUUAACAGCGGUCAAUUGUCUUCCCUCAUCAAAUUGAUUGACAUCCUCUAGCAAAUUAAACCAGUAUCACUCUGUUGAAAUGCAGUCAAAUCAUCUGCUAAAUCCAAUCUAUGGGGAAUGAAGAUGUUUCUUUAAAUGAUUUAUGCAUAACACAUAAAUAUGUUUGGUUGUAUGUAUCUGUAUGGCUAGUUUGACGGCUAGGUGGUACCGACUGGUGGAUUGAGCAGCUGGGUUUGGUUUGAAUUAUUAGUCUGGUAGGUUGAAAAUAAAGAAUGACGAGAAGUGACAGUAAACAAAAGUACAAAUGUAAAGUUUGCUCCAAUACCGAAAAGCUUGAUACGAGAAGCUGGUGCUAGCCUUUUCUUGUGAAACAUAGUGCAAGCGCUUGAGCUGAUUUUGCAAAUUAUGAUGGAAAAAUGUCAAGCUUGUAGACGCUGUAGAGUUGUGGAGGGAAUAACCUCAGAAUCUCAGAUACUAGAGAGAGCUGCAGAACCAGAACUUCUGAUGGCAGAGAUGUCUAAAGAGCAGUUGAAUGCAUUUGCAUCCUAUAUAUCAAGCAAUAUAAUAUUUGUUGGAGCUAGGUAUGUUCUUUUAUACUUGCUUCACUAUAGGAGGUUAGGCUGCUGGACUUGCUGAAAGAGACGUCACUCCUUUUAUGCGAGUUAGAGUUGUUGGAUUGACUAGCAAAACUACUCCAUCCAAGUGCUGCAUGCCCACAGGAAGGCUUAAUUACAACAGCAAUCCGAGGGUCAAGCUUUUGCUGUUGCAGGGCUUACACCGAUAAGCUCAGACUCGAGCACCCUUUAUUUGCAAGCAAAAGGGUCCAAAGCCAAAUGACGGCCUUUGUCUCCUAUGGCAAUUGAGGGUUUUGAGCCCUUUUUUUUGUUCCAUUGGGGUGAAAUUCCUAUGGCCAGGGAGUUUGAUAUCGGUGCAGUGGUUUUUGUGGGGCAGCGGUAUACAGAAGCUCAUCAAAGUAAGCAGUGGGUAUUUAAUUUGUAGCUGAUGGGUCCACAUCUACGUUGGAUGAAUCAGAAACCUUGAUGGCCACUAGCUUCAACUCACCAUAUAUGCAUAGAAACUGAUUCAUUUGCACCAAUAAACUCUAACCUUGUAGGGUCUGCGGUGAGUAAGGAGUAAACUACGACUGGCGGUACAUGAUUUUCCUCGUAGCCACCAGCACUGAACCUCUGCUUUUCUGGAAGCAACUUAUUGUGUAGAUAUAAAACAUUAAGAAAAUCCUCUUUUAUACAGGACAUAUGGUGGUAUACCAUUAACUUCCAACUCUAACGCUUCUGUUGCUUAAUGGCAUCUGGGCCCGUGCUUUAAUUACUACUACAACCUUUAUAUUCUCUUAUGGUCUUUGCAUGUAUCCAUGCACAACAUUAUAUAUGUCAUUGAUGCACUACACAGUAUUCCUGAUUAAUGAAUUUAAAGGGUUAUGCUAUAGAGUAAAACUCAAAUGUUGAAGUCGUCGGUCUAUGGUGUUUCUCUAAUUUGUAUCCAGUAUCCACAGCUGAAACAAUGAAGUUUCCUUUUGCAAUCUCAUCAAGAGAGCAAGAGAUAAUUAAUAUUAAUAACCUCUGGGUAGCUGAAGCAACAGAAAAUUCGACCUAUUAUUUAAAUUUUGAUCAUUCACAUUAUAUUGUUAAUUCUCAUCUGAAAGAAGCCAGCGCUUCUGCUGAAAGACGGGCAAAGAUAUCUGGUUCGGUAUGUGUCCUGGCGUUUGGUCAUGAUAUUAUAUACUCCAUUAGCUUCAUUGUUUCAAACUUGUAUUCUUCCAUUAUAUAUGCAGAGACUUGAAAAGCUUAGGGGGAAAGUUGUAUCUAUAAUUAGCUGCCGCUGAACUUGAAGUUUGGCAUGUAUCCUAGUUAAAAUGAUGCUGUGAGGUCUUUAAUUUCCCCAGCAUUAUCAUUUCUUGGGACUAGUCUACAGCUAAAGAAGAGGAUUGAGAUGUAACAUUUAAGGGCUGCAACUUGAUGCCAUAUAUAUAGUGAGACCUAUUCUUAUAUAUAUAUAUAUAUAUAUAU